rnacentral:misc_RNA from 1 species
GAUGAAGAACGCAGCGAAAUGCGAUAAGUAAUGUGAAUUGCGGAAUUCAGUGAAUCAUCGAAUCUUUGAACGCACAUUGCGCCCGCCAGUAUUCUGGCGGGCAUGCCUGUCUGAGCGUCAUUUCAACCCUCAUGCCCCUAGGGCGUGGUGUUGGGGAUCGGCCAAAGCCCGCGAGGGACGGCCGGCCCCUAAAUCUAGUGGCGGACCCGUCGUGGCCUCCUCUGCGAAGUAGUGAUAUUCCGCAUCGGAGAGCGACGAGCCCCUGCCGUUAAACCCCCAACUUUCCAAGGUUGACCUCAGAUCAGGUAGGAAUACCCGCUGAACUUAAGCAUAUCAAUAAGCGGAGGA